GCGCGCAAAUUACCCAAUCCCGACACGGGGAGGUAGUGACAAUAAAUAACAAUAUAGGGCCCUUUGGGUCUUAUAAUUGGAAUGAGUACAAUUUAAAUCCCUUAUCGAGGAUCAAUUGGAGGGCAAGUCUCGUGC
rnacentral:rRNA from 1 species